rnacentral:snoRNA from 1 species
UGGAUCGAUGAUGAUUUCUGGUCAUCAUCAUUAUGAAUCAUAUGCAAUGAAAGUGUGUCUGGAACUCUGAGGCCCAA